ACAAUGGAGAGUUUGAUCCUGGCUCAGGACGAACGCUGGCGGCGUGCUUAACACAUGCAAGUCAAGGAGAAAGGUUCCUUCGGGAAACGAGUAAACUGGCGAACGGGUGAGUAACACGUAGGUAACCUGCCCUAGAGACUG
rnacentral:rRNA from 1 species